rnacentral:lncRNA from 1 species
GUGCACAACUUUUUUUAUCGCAAAUCAUUGAAAUUAUAACACAACAAUGGCAAAGGUCUUUAGAGUAAAGACAUUAAUUUAUUCAAACUAAAGGACACAAACAUUACCGAAACUCUUCCAAACUAAAAUAUGAAACAUUUUAGCUUAGAAAAAUAACUAGACAAAUUCUUUAUUCAAACUUAACAUUUUCCAACAUUUUAGCUUAGAAACAUACCUAGACAUUUUCUUUAAUCAAAGUUAACAUUGUCCAACAAGAACAAAUAAGCGAUAGGAUCAAGAAUAAUAGAUAUUCAAACUUAACAUUUUUCAACAAGAACGAACCCUUCUUCUUGAAAUUUCUGCAACAUUAUAUUCUCGUGGAUAGAUAACAAGAGUUUAUAUCUUCAUAUAAAAAUGCUCAAGUUCUUGCAAGAUUAAACAAUACUGGGAAUCAAAAUUCACAACGAGAAUUAAUUAUUGGAGAUAGACAUAUCGAUAAAACAAUAGUAGCCACAUAUAGAAGGGAUUUUACUUGGAAAAGAAAAUGUUCCAUACUAAUGGAUUGAGGUCCAUAACCAUGAAUGCACCAAAACCAAAGCAAGCCACCCUUGAGAGAAAUAAAUGAAUUCCAAGAGCCCUCUAAGUACUUUGAUUUUGCAUUAGAUUAAGCUUUUUUUAAAUAUGAAUAAAUAAGAGAGUAUAGGCUCAUUACUUAGAAUGUUUGACCUGUAUCAUUCAGUUUCUGGGAGAAUACAAAAAAUAUAUACACUGAUGCUCCUAUAAAAAAAUAACUUUUUCUAUUAUUUGACAUAUAAGCCAGUAAAUCAAAAAGCUAGAAAACUAUUUUGAUUAUAUGAUUCAAAAAUAACUUUCAGUAUUGUUUUUGAAUAUAUUAGUAUUAGCAGUUAAAAAAUGAAAUAUAAGUUCAAUACGCUUGUUUUGAGCAAUCUUCAGAUUUUAUUUCCCAAAAUGAGGGUGGAGACAUAAAAAAAAAAAAAAAAAAUGGAGAAAACAGCAAUUUUGUUAUUAUUUUA